GACGAACGCUGGCGGCGUGCUUAACACAUGCAAGUCGAACGGAAAGGCCUGCUUUCCCUUGUGGAUUGCGGGUACUCGAGUGGCGAACGGGUGAGUAACACGUGAGUGAUCUGCCCCCAACUUGGGUAUAAGCCUGGGAAACUGGGUCUAAUUCCCGAUAGGACUGCAGGGUGGUGCCUGUGGUGGAAAACGAUUUUCUAGUGGUUGGGGAUGAGCUCGCGGCCUAUCAGCUUGUUGGUGGGGUAAUGGCCUACCAAGGCGGCGACGGGGAGCCGGCCUGGGAGGGUGGACGGCCACAUUGGGACUGGGAUACGGCCCAGACUCCUACGGGAGGCAGCAGUGGGGAAUAUUGCACAAUGGGCGGAAGCCUGAUGCAGCGACGCCGCGUGGGGGAUGACGGCCUUCGGGUUGUAAACUCCUUUCGACCGCGAGGAAGCCACCUGGUUGGAAGGGUGGUGACGGUAGUGGUAGAAGAAGCACCGGCUAACUACGUG
rnacentral:rRNA from 1 species